CGCAGGGAUUGUUUCGCUUUGCUGGUGCUCAGGAGACAAAGCCCUAGACCUGUAGGAUGAAAGGAUACUUAGGAUGUACAGAAGGGACAGGAUGUAGCGAAUUAAGAGUAAGGAAAACAAUAUCUAUCAUGUGGAAUGUUCAAAGGGUUUUUCCACAGCUUCCUGGAUGUCUCUACAUUGCCCUGUUUCUGCACUGAAAAUAUUAGACGUGAUUUGAUCCACAGCCCACUAUGAUUUCCGUACCUUCACUGUGCUUGGAAAAAUCAGAACAUCAAGAUCUCGAGGACAAAAUCAGAAGAUGUUUUGUCCUUGACCUUUGCGAGGAAAAGAUCUCACCUGGUGCCUUUCACUCUCAGGGGAAGGAGGACAACCUUACCUAGUAUAUCCUUGCUGCUGAGGAGACCUGCCAGCACAGGAGGGAAUGAAACAUGUAUUACAGUACUUCAGGAGGAGCUCUGGUCAGCCAAGCAGUUUGGGGUAGUGUCUUUCUUUAGA